UGCUCCGGCUCUCGCUUUCUCUCCGGCGAUCUUUCGCCAUCGGUCUUUUUUCGGGGGUUUCAACUCCGGCGAUCUUGGAUCGAGUGCAUGUAGGUUUCUCUUGGAGAGAAGAAGGGAGACCAAAGGGAUGGCUCGGAGUAUAGACCAUUUCAAGGAGAGAGGCGAAACCACACAAGAUUCCGCGAUUGCUCUUCAAAGACGGCGAAAGGCCCUAGUUUUGAAGCGCCUCUUCGUCGAUUCACACAAGAUUUUGAAUCUGUGUCGCUGAUUCUGUUCUUGGAGGCGGAAUUAGGGCAACAUCCCCUCGUCAGUCGAGGCGCAGAGAAACACGUGGGGAAGUCCAAGUCGGUGGAGCUGUGGGAUACGGACAAGAAGACUAGCCUACUCAAGUGCAUCGUCAAGACCCAGCUGCGGAUUCUUCGUCUCAAUGUGAUCGCCAGGAGGCAGGACAGAUAAGAUUUUUGUUCGAGGUGGAACUACCUAACGACAAGUACAAGACUGAUUCCAAAGAUGGAGGUUCCGUUUCGAAGAAGUGAAGGAGGUAAAUCUAACAUUUACUGAAGUUUCCAAGAAAUGGGCUGGAGAAGACAAUCAGGUGACUACCGAUGAGCUUCGGGAGAUCUCAAGAGAUGGAGGAAGAGAGUCCAAAGGAGACAAAAAAAGGGCAAGAUUCAGAUUAUUGAACAUUUCGUGGAGGGGCUGAACCGUGAACAAGAAAUGAGAGACUGGCAUAACCAGGGAAAUUGGACUUCUCGCGACCGUCGUGGUGUCAUAGCUAUUCAGUGAGUUCAUCAUUUUCUAUGUGAAUAUUAUUGUCUCCGUACCAACUGGUCCUUUUUGUUGUCUGUUUGGAUCUUUUUUAUGCUUUCACGGAUGGCAGGUGAGAUGUCAAAGAAGGGAAGUAUGUAAAUUUAUCAAUUUUUAUCCAAUAAUCAUGCGGUGGUUAUAAUUUCUGGUGGAUGCAUUAUAAUUAAAAAGAGUUCCAUUAAUAUGAUAAUGAUGAAAAGAUUGCGAUAUAUUUGGUUUGUACGUGUAGAGUAGAAUUCCCUUUUAUAUGGUACAUGUGAUGCUUGAAAAAGAAAGAGUUUCUUUGGAAAAUUAUACGUUAAGAUGCUAAUUGUGAUUCUAGAGUUUUUUUGAAACCCAUGCGUGUCUUCUCGUGAUGUAGAAGGUUAUCUUCCGAAUAAUCUCUGCAGGUAUGUUCAUUCUUUCCUUUCUCCAAUUAAGGUAUCUACGGAUAAAGAAGUCGAUAAGGACUGUAGUCCAUGGAAAUUGCUUCAUUUAUGGUUCCUAUUUUUUUCAGGUUUGUGGUAGUUUUACUUACAAUCUUAUUGGUUGGUUUUUCUUGAGGGAGGGAGAGAGUCCAAAUGAGAAAGAAAAGGGCAAGACUCGGAACAUAGAUCAUUUUGUGGAGGAGCUAGAACGUGAACAAGAAAUGAGAGAACGCCAUGGACAAUUUCUAGUCGGUGGAGCUGUUAGAUAUGGACAAGGGUCUCCUCAAGUACAUCAUCAAGACCCAGCAGCGAAUUCUUCGUCUCAAUGUGCUCACCAAGUGGUGCCAACAGAAUAGGGGUGCAUUUGGGAAGGUCUUUGAUAGGAUUCUGUUGUUUAGGGCUACGCUAAUCAGAUAAACUUAUGUCUCAGACAUUACAAUGAAGAAAAUGGUUUCUGUUUGAUUGUUGGAUUCAUUUAUACUAGACACCACACCUGAGACCCUUGUUCGAAGUGGAAUUCUCAACCCACUGAUUUUGAAGGCAUUCACAGAUGAAAGGUAAAUAGUCGAAAGAUGGGGGUUAUAUUUCAAAGAAGUAAAGUAGGUAAAUUUUAGUUCUGAUCUGGUUUGAAAGAUCUCAUGGAGGGGCUAAAACGAGAACAAGAAGUGAGAGACUGGCAUAACCAGGGAAAUGGGACUAGAACUGUCGUGGUGUGAUAUCUAUGCAGUGAAAUGUCGAAAUGUGGGGGUUUCCAGUUCAAAGAAGGGAAGUUGGUAAAUUUAACAAAUUUUAUCGAAUAACCAUGCGGUGGUUGUAAUUUCUGCUGGAUGCAUUAUAAUUAAAAGGGGUUCCAUUAAUAUGAUUAUGAUAAAAAUAUUGCAAUAUAUUUGGUUUAUAACAGUAGAGUAGAAUUCCCUUCUGUACGUUGAAUGUGAUGCUUGAAAAACAAAGAGUUCCUUUGGAAAUGUAUACGUUGAGAUGCUAAUUGUGAUUCUAGAAUUUCUUUGAAACCCAUGCGUGUCUUCUCCUGAGGUAUCUUCCGAGUAAUCCCUGCAGGUAUGUUCAUUUUUUCCUUUCUCCAACUUAGGUAUCUAUGGGUAAGGAAGCCGAGAAGGACUGUACUGUCCGUGGAAAUUGCUCCGUGUAUGCUUCCUAUUUUCUCUGGUUUGUGAUAGUCUUUGUUUCAAUCUUAUUGGUUGGUUUUUCUUGAGGGAAGGAGAGAGUCCAAUUGAGACAGAAAAGGCCAAGACUCGGCACAUAGAUCAUUUUGUGGUGGAGCUAGAACGUGAACAGGAAAUGAUAGAAAGACAUGGAGACGUAAUUAGGGCAACAUUCUCUAUGGUCAGUCGAGUUGCAGAGGAACUCGUGGAGAAUUCCAAGUCGGUGGAGCUGUCAUCUAUGGACAAGAGCCUCCUCAGGUACAUCAUCAAGGCCCAACAGCGAAUUCUUUGUCGCAAUGUGCUCACCAAGUGGUGCCAACAGGUUCGUCUUUUCUGCUGUAUAGAUUCGUUCUUUUACUUGUGUUUGUGCGUCAUGAGAAAAUUCUGGGAUUUUCUUGAAGCCGACUGACUUUGAUGGUCAAAAUUAGAGGUUUGUUUGUCCAUUUCAAGAUAAAUCGGGUUUGGUUGGUUUUUCUGUGUCAUGAAGUUUGUGCUGUCAUGUUAUAUGUUGGGUUUUGGAUUUUCUCUCCUUUAUGUUGCAGAAUAGGGGUGCAUUUGGGAAAGUUUUUAAUCGGCUCCUUUUGUUUAGGGCUACACUAAUCAGAUAAACUUACGUCUCAGACAUUACAAUGAAAAAAAUAGUUUCUGUUUGAUUGUUGGAUUCGUUUAUACGAGACCUUUGUUCGAAGUGGAAUUCUCAACCCUGAUGACAGCCCAAGACAGAUUUUGAACGUUAGUCUCAGAAUACACAUGAUUUGAUGGAAUAAAGGUAAUGUCGAGGGCCUCAUUUUGUGUCAAUUGUCCUAUUUUCUUCUUUUUGAUGAUCUUAAUUGGUAGGGUAAUGCUUAUGUUUUAUUUGGAACACAUUGAUAAAAGCGUGGACCUUUUUAAGAAUUCACAGAUGAAAGGUAAAUAGUCGAAAGAUGGGGUUUAUAUUUCAAAGAAGUAAUGUAGGUAAGUUUUAGUUCUGAUCUGGUUUGAAAGAUCUUAUUGAGGGGCUGAAACGUGAACAACAAAUGCGAGACUGGCAUAAUUAGGGAAAUGGACUGCCUACAACCAUCGUGGUGUGAUAUCUAUGCAGUAAGUUCAUCAUUUUCUAUGUGAAUAUUAUUCUCUGUACUAACUGGUUCUUUUUGUUGUUUGUUUGGAUCUUUUUUUUUACAGUCACGGACGGCAGGUGAAAUGUCGAAAUGUGGGGUUUCCGUUUCAAAGGAGGGAAGUAGGUAAAUUUAACAAUUUUUAUCCAAUAACCAUGCGGUGGUUACAGUUUCUGCUGGAUGCAUUAUAAUUAAAAAGUGUUCCAUUAAUAUGAUUAUGAUAGAAAUAUUGAGAUAUAUUUGGUUUAUAAUAGUAGAGUAGAAUUCCCUUUUGUACGGUGAAUGUGAUGCUUGAAAAACAGUUUUUUUGGAAAUGUGUAUCGUUGAGAUGCUAGUUGUUGUUCUAGAGUUUCUUUGAAACCCAUGCGUGUCUUCUUGAAGGUUAUCUUCCGAGUAAUCUCUGCAGGUAUGUUCAUUCUUUCCUUUCUCCAACUUAGGUAUCUCCAGUUAAAGAAGCCGAGAUGGACUGUAGUCCAUGGAAAUUGCUUCGUUCAUGGUUCCUAUUUUUCUCUGGUUGUGAUAGUUUUUGUUUCGAUCUUUUUGGUUGGUUUUUCUUGAGGGAAGGAGAGAGUCCAAAUGAGACAGAAAAGGGCAAGACUCGGAACAUAGAUCAUUUCGUGGAGGAGCUAGAACGUUACUUUGAUGGUAAAAAUUAUGGGUUUGUUUGUCAAUUUCAAGAUAAAUCGGGUUUUGUUUGUUUUUCUAUGUCAUGAAGAUUGUGCAGUCAUGUAAUAUGUUGGGUUUUGGAUAGUGUCUCCUUUAUCUUGCAUAAUAGUGGUGCAUUUGGGUUUGGGAUGGUUUUUGAUAGGUUUCUAUUGUUUAGAGCUACGCUAAUCAGAUAAACUUACGUCUCAGAACAUUACAAUGAAAAAAAUAGUUUCUGUUUGACUGUUGGAUUCGUUUUUUCAAAACACCACACUUGAGACCUUUGUUCGAAAUGGAAUUCUCAACCCUGAUGACAGCCCAAGACAGAUUUUGAAGGUUAGUCUCAGAAUACACAUGAUUUGAUGGAAUAAAGGUAAUGAGGGCCUCAUUUUCUGUCAAUUAAUUUUCUUCUUUUUGAUGAUCUUAAUUGGUAGGGUAAUGCUUAUGUUUUAUUUGGAACACAUUGAUAAAAGCGUGGACCUUUUUAUGAAUUCACAGAUGAAAGGUAAGUAGUCGAAAGAUGGGGUUUAUAUUUGAAAGAAGUAAUGUAGGUAAGUUUUAGUUCUGAUCUGGUUUGAAAGAUCUCAUGGAGGGUCUGAAACGUGAACAGCAAAUGAGAGACUGGCAUAAUUAGGGAAAUGGGACUGUCUGCAACUGUCGUGGUGUGAUACCUAUGCAGUAAGUUAUGCAGUAAGUUCAUCAUUUUCUAUGUGAAUAUUAUUGUCUCUGUACUAACUGGUUCUUUUUGUUGUUUGUUUGGAUCUUUUUUUUACAUUCACGAAUGGAAGGUGAAAUGUCGAAGUAUGGGGGUUUCCGUUUCAAAGAUGGGAAGUUGGUAAAUUUAACAAUUUUUAUCGAAUAACCAUGCGGUGGUUAUAAUUUCUGUUGAAUGCAUUAUAAUUAAAAAGAGUUCCAUUAAUAUGAUUAUGAUAAAAAUGUUGCGAUAUAUUUGGUUUAUAACAGGAGUAGAAUUCCAUUUUGUAUGGUGAAUGUGAUGCUUGAAAAACAAAGAAUUUAUUUGGAAAUGUAUACGUUGAGAUGCUAGUUGUUGUUCUAGAGUUUCUUUGAAACCCAUGUGUGUCUUCUCGUGAAGGUUAUCUUCCGAGUAAUCUCUGCAGGUAUGUUCAUUCUUUCCUUUCUCCAACUUAGAUAUCUACGGUUAAAGAAGCCGAGAUGGACUGUAGUCCGUGGCAAUUGCUUCGUUCAUGGUUCCUAUUUUUCUCUGGUUUGUGAUAGUUUUUGUUUCGAUCUUUUUGGUUGGUUUGUCUUGAGGGAAGGAGAGAGUCCAAAUGAGACAGAAAAUGCCAAGACUCGGAACAUAGAUCAUUUCGUGGAGGAGCUAGAACGUUAACAAGAAAUGAUAGAAAGAGGAAAACAUCCUCUAUAGUCAGUCAAGUUGCAGAGGAACUCGUGGAGAAUUCCAAGUCGGUGGAGCUGUCAGGAAUGGAACAAGAGUCUCCUCAAGUAUAUCAUCAAGAUCCAGCAGCGAAUUCUUCGUCUCAAUGUGCUCACCAAGUGGUGCCAACAGGUUCGUCUUUCCUGCUGUAUAGAUUCUAUAGAAUCGUUCUUUUACUUUUGUUUGUGCGUCAAUGGGAAAAUUUUGGGAUUUUUCUUGAAGCAGACUGACUUUGAUGGUAAAAAUUAAGGGUUUGUUUGUCAAUUUCAAGAUAAAUCGGGUUUGGUUUGUUUUUCUAUGUCAUGAAGAUUGUGCAGUCAUGUAAUAUGUUGGGUUUUGGAUUGUGUCUCCUUUAUCUUGCAUAAUAGGGGUGCAUUUGGGAUGGUUUUUGAUAGGUUUCUGUUGUUUAGAGCUACGCUAAUCAGAUAAACUUACGUCUCAGACAUUACAAUGAAAAAAAUGGUUUCUGUUUGACUGUUGGAUUCGUUUCUUCAAAAUACCACACUUGAGACCUUUGUUCGAAGUGGAAUUCUCAACCCUGAUGACAGUCCAAGACAGAUUUUGAAGGUUAGUAUCAGAAUACACAUGAUUUGAUGGAAUAAAGGUAAUGUCGAGGGCCUCAUUUUGUGUCAAUUGUCUUUUUUUCUUCUUUUUGAUGAUCUUAAUUGGUAGGGUAAUGUUUAUGUUUUAUUUGGAACACAUUGAUAAAAGCGUGGACCUUUUUAUGAAUUCACAGAUGAAAGGUAAAUUGUCGAAAGAUGGGGGUUAUAUUUCAAAGAAGUAAAGUAGGUAAGUUUUAGUUCUGAUCUGGUUUGAAAGAUCUCAUGGAGGGGCUGAAACGUGAACAGGAAAUGAGAGACUGGCAUAAUUAGGGAAAUGGGACUGCCUACAACCGUCGUGGUGUGAUAUCUAUGUAGUAAGUUCAUCAUUUUCUAUGUGAAUAUUAUUGUCUCUGUACUAACUGUGAUAUCUAUGCAGUAAGUUAUCAUUUUCUAUGUGAAUAUUAUUGUCUCUGUACUAACUGGUUUGUUUUGUUGUUUGUUUGGAUCCUUUUUUUUACAUUCAUGGAUGGAAGGUGAAAUGUCGAAAUAUGGGGUUUUCCCUUUCAAAGAAGGGAAGUUGGUAAAUUUAACAAUUUUUAUCGAAUAACCAUGCGGUGGUUAUAAUUUCUGUUGGAUGCAUUAUAAUUAAAAAGAGUUCCAUUAAUAUGAUAAUGACAAAAAUAUUGCGAUAUAUUUGGUUUAUAACAGAAGAGUAGAAUUCCCUUUUGUACGGUGAAUGUGAUACCUGAAAAACAAAGAGUUCCUUCUGGAAAUGUAUACGUUGAGAUGCUAACUGUGAUUCUAGUGUUUCUUUGAAACACAUGCGUGUCUUCUCAUGAGUUUAUCUUCCGAGUAUUAUCUACAGGUAUGUUCAUUCUUUCCUUUCUCCAACUUAGGUAUCUACGGGAAAGAAGCCGAGAAGGUCUGUAACCUGUGCAAAUUGCUUCGUGUAUGGUUCCUAUUUUCUUUGGUUUGUGAUAGUUUUUGUUUCGAUCUUAUUGGUUGGUUUUUCUUGAGGGACGGAGAGAGUCCAAAUGAGACAGAAAAGGCCAAGAUUCGGAACAUAGAUUCGUGGAGGAGUUAGAACGUGAACAAGAAAUGAUAGAAAGACAUGGCGACGGAAUUAGGGCAACAUCCUCUAUGGUCAGUCGAGUUGCAGGGGAACUCGUGGAAAGUCCAAGUUGGUGGAGUUGUCUGGUAUUGACAAGAGCCUCCUCAAGUACGUCAUCAAGACCCAGCAGCGAAUUCUUCGUAUCAAUUUGCUCACCAGGUGGUGCCAACAGGUUCGUCUUGCCUGCUGUGAUUUUUUACUUGUGUUUGUGCGCCGGUGAAAACAUUUUGGGAUUUUUCUUGAAGCAGACUGAUGAAAACAAUUAAGGGUUUGUUUGUCAAUUUCAAGAUAAAUCGGGUUUGGCAGGUUUUUCUAUGUCAUGAAGAUUGUGCAGUCAUGUAAUAUGUUGGGUUUUUGAUUGUCUCUCCUUUAUCUUGCAUAAUAGGGGUGCAUUUGGGAUGGUUUUUGAUAGGUUUCUGUUGUUUAGAGCCACCGUAAUCAGAUAAACUUACGUCUCUGACAUUACAAUGAAAAGUUAGUUUCUGUUUGAUUGUUGGAUUCGUUUCUACAAGACACCACACCUGAGACCUUUGUUCGAAGUGGAAUUCUCAACCCUGAUGACAAGCCCAAGACUGAUUUCGAAGGUUGGUCUCAGAAUACACAUGAUUUGAUGGAAUAAAGCUAAUGUCGAGGGCCUCAUUUUGUGUCAAUUGUUCUAUUUUCUUCUUUUUAAUGAUCUUAAUUGUUAGGGUAGUGUUUAUGUUUUAUUUGGAACACAUUGAUAAAAGCGUGGUCCUUUUUAUGUAUUCACAGAUGAAAGGUAAUUAGUCGAAAGAUGGGGUUUAUAUUUCAAAGAAGUAAAGUAGGUAAGUUUUUAGUUCUGAUCUGGUUUGAACGAUCUCAUGGGGGGCUGAAACGUGAACAGAAAAUGAUAGACUGGCAUAACUAGGGAAAUGGGACAGCCUACAACCGUCGUUGUGUGACAUCUAUGCAAUGGCAGGUGAAAUGUCGAAAUAUGGGGCUUUUCCGUUUCAGCGAAGGGAAGUAGGUAUCUGCGGGUAAAGAAACCGAGAAGGACUGUAGUCCGUGGAAAUUGCUUCGUGUAUGAUUCCUAUUUUCUCUGGUUUGUGAUAGUUUUUGUUUCGAUCUUAUUGGUUGGUUUGUCUUGAGGGAAGGAGAGAAUCCAAAUGAGACAGAAAAGGCCAAGACUCGGAACAUAGAUCUUUUCGUGGAGGACCUAGAACGUGAACAAGAAAUGAUAGAAAGACAUGGCGACGGAAUUAGGGUAACAUCCUCUAUGGUCAGUCGAGUUGCAGAGGAACUCGUGGAGAAUUCCAAGUCUUUGGAGCUGUCAGGUGUGGACAAGAGAAUUCUGUUCUGAUUUGAAAGAUCUCAUGGAGGGGCUGAAACGACAACACGAAGUGAGAGACUGGCAUAACCAGGGAAAUGGGACUAGCUAGAACUGUCGUGGUGUGAUGAUAUCUAUGCAGUAAGUUCAUCAUUUUCUAUGUGAAUAUUAUUGUCUGUGUACUAACUGGUUCUUUUUUAUGUUUGUUUGAAUCUUUUUUUUACGUUCAUGGAUGGCAUGUGAAAUGUCGAAACAUGGGGGUUUCCGUUUCAAAGAAGGGAAGUAGGUAAAUUUAACAAUUUUUUUCGAAUAACCAUGCGGUGGUUAUAAUUUCUGGUAUAUGCAUUAUAAUUAAAAAGAGUUCCAUUAAUAUGAUUAUGAUAAAAUAUUUUGAGAUAUUUGGUUUAUAACAGUAGAGUAGAAUUCGCUUUUGUGCGGUGAAUGUGAUGCUUGAAAAACAAAGAGUUUAUUUGGAAAUGUAUAUGUUGAGAUGCUAAUUGUUGUUCUAGAGUUUCUUUGAAACCCAUGCGUGUCUUCUCGUGAGGGUUAUCUUCCCAGUAAUCUCUGCAGGUAUGUUCAUUCUUUCCUUUCUCCAACUUAGGUAUCUACGGGUAAAGAAGCUGAGAGGGACUGUAGUUUGUGGAAAUUGCUUCGUGUAUGGUUCCUAUUUUCUCUGGUUUGUGAUAGUUUUUGUUUCGAUCUUAUUGGUUGGUUUUUCUUGAAGGAAGGAGAGAGUCCAAAUGAGACAGAAAAGGCCAAGACUCGGAACAUAGAUCUUUUCGUGGAGGAGAUAGAACGUGAACAAGAAAUGAUAGAAAGACAUGGCGAUGGGAUUAGGGCAACAUCCUCUAUGGUCAGUCGAGUUGCAGAGGAACUCGUGGAGAAUUCCAAGUCUUUGGAGCUGCCAGGUGUGGACAAGAGGUUCGUCUUUCCUGCUGUAUAGAACAGGGGUGCAUUUGGGAUGGUUUUUGAUAGGUUUCUGCUGUUAGGUUUGAAAGAUCUCAUGGAGGGGCUGAAAUCAGAACAAGAAGUGAGAGACUGGCAUAACCAUGGAAAUGGGAAGACCUAGAACUGUCGUGGUGUGAGAUCUAUGCAGUGAAAUGUCGAAAUAUGGGGGUUUCCGCUCAAAGAAGGGAAGAAGGUAUCGGCGGGUAAAGAAACCGAGAAGGACUGUAGUCUGUGGAAAUUGCUUCGUGAGCGAGUCCAAAUGAGACAGAAAAGGCGAAGACUCGGAACAUAGAUCUUUUCGUGGAGGAGCUAGAACGUGAACAAGAAAUGAUAGAAAGACAUGGCGACGGAACGAGGGCAACAUCCUCUAUGGUCAGUCGAGUUGUAGUUGAACUCGUGGAGAAUUCCAAGUCUUUGGAGCUGUCAGGUAUGGACAAGAGCCUCCUCAAGUACAUCAUCAAGACCCAGCAGCGAAUUCUCUGUCUCAAUGUGCUCACCAAGUGAUGCCACCAGAUGAAAGGUAAAUAGUCGAAAGAUGGGGGUUACAUUUCAAAGAAGUAAAGUAGGUAAAUUUUAGUUCUGAUCUGGUUUGAAAGAUCUCAUGGAGAGGCUGAAACGUGAACAAGAAAUGAGAGACUGGCAUAACUAGGGAAAUGGGACUACCUACAACCGUCGUGGUGUGAUAUCUAUGCAGUAAGUUCAUCAUUUUCUAUGUGAAUAUUAUUGUCUCUGUAUUAACUGGUUCUUUUUGUUGUUUGUUUGGAUCUCUUUUUUACAUUCAUGGAUGGCAGGUGAAAUGUCGAAAUAUGGGGGUUUCUGUUUCAAAGAAGGGAAGUAUGUAAAUUUAACAAUUUUUAUCGAAUAGUGUCGAGGACUUCUUUUUCUUUCAAUUGUUCUAUUUUCUUUUUGAUGUUCUUAAUUGGUAGGGUAAUGUUUAUGUUUUAUUGCGAACACAUUGAUAAAAGCGUGGACCUUUUUAUGAAUUCUUAGAUGAGAGGUACAUAGUCGAAAGAUGGGGGUUACCUUUCAAAGAAGUGAAGUGGGUAAAUUUUAGUUCUAAUCCGGUUUGAAACAUCUCAAUAGGUACAAAUUUCAAAAUUUGUUUGAUUGCUUAUUUUUCAUUAGUUACUUGGUUUGUAUUAUUGAUCUUUGUACUUGCCAUGGAAGUGAAUGGCCAACAUUGUAAACAGGCUGGACCGUGUUUCCAUCGGUAAUUAUAUGAAGUGACCAAUGAGUAACCUAUCAAUUUGCAUUGUGUGUGGUUUCUUUGGCUAUGUCUUGGUCAAUUUCACAUGAUCCGUGUUUAUUUAUGUUUUCGUCUGUUUUUAUAUGUCAUGUCUAUCUUCUCUGCCGAUCUAUUUUUUCUCACAGUAGGUCCUAUCUUUCUCAAUAAAGCUACGAGAUUUCAGGAUAUCAAACUGUCAAGGAUCUGGUAGUCCUCUCCUCUGAGCGCCCUAAACCUCUCAGUCAUUCUCCUGGUUAUGCUUGCAGUCAACAUUUGCUAGAUUUUCCUUGAAAAAGAAACUGAAUGUGAAAUCUAUGUGUUUAAUUGAGUUUGAUUCGGUCUGACUUUCUCUACAUUAGGACGAUCUUGAGAGCCAGAUUUUCAUGCUUAGGCUUCCAAAGCAUAGCACAAGCACCGUUCUAGACAAUGGCCGGGAGAAGACAAUCGGGUCACUAUCGACGAGCUUCGGGAGAUCUCAAGAGGUAUGAGUCACCCCACCUGCGGUGGUUGUAAUUUCUGGUGGAUGCAUGAUAAUUAAAAAGAGUUCCAUUAAUAUGACUAUGAUAAAAAGAUUGCGAUAUAUUUGGUUUAUAACAGUAGAGUAGAAUUCCCUUUUGUAUGGUGCAUGUGAAAGAGUUUCUUUGGAAAUGUAUACGUUCAGAUGCUAAUUAUGGUUCUAGAGUUUCAUUGAAGGCCAUGCAGGUAUGUUCAGAUGCGAAUUCUUCGUCUCAAUGUGCUCACCAAGUGGUGCCAACAGGGAUGGAGAGAGUCCAAAGGAGAUAGAAAAGGGCAAGAUUCGAAACAUAGAUCACUUCGUGGAGGAGCUAGAACGUGAACAAG